UUAAUGAUGAAACCAAUUGGUCCGUGUUUAUGAUUUUUCGAUGAUUAACUAUAUUCAACCACUACUGAAUCGC